CAGAGCUGUUCCUCAAUAAAUGGGCAUUUUCUCCGGUGGCAAGCUUUGAUGGUUCUUUCAGGAAACAAAUAUGGCAGAAGAUACGAAUAUCACUUGAGAUACUUGGUUUUAUGAAGACUAAGACCUCUUUUCUCAGAGCUCCCUCUGACUCCCCGGCUCAUUUACUCUGAGGGAAGUCAACUGCCAUGUUAUGAACUACCCUGCGAGAGGCCCAGGUAACAAGAAACUGAGGGAGAAUUUGGCCAACAGCCAGUGAGAAACCAAAGACCCAUGCCUACCAGUCCAUGAUGAACUUCAUCCUUCAGACAACCACGUGCCUUGGAGCAAAGCAUGUUUGCUAACCUGUCACCACUGAUGGGCAGAUAGAUGCUUUUGAAAGCAGAUUUAACAAAUCGAUCAAAAUUUCACAAGGAAAAGAACAGCUUUAAAGAUUCUGCACAGGCCCUUGGGAACUUUCCUUAGCCACCUGAAAGCCGGGCCCUUCAGCAGAUUUUCCACUUUGAUGAAUUCUUUCCCUACAAUCUCAUCAAGCACAGGAGAUGAACCAGCAGGAGAGAAGACUACAGUUCACAUCACAUCCAGAGCCCAGGCAAACGUCUCAGGCUAUUGUCUAUUCUCGGGGCUCAUUUACCUCCCCUAAAAAUCACUUACUCUUCUUCUAAAAAUUGCCUACAUCCCCCACUAACCUCUCCCCUAGGAAGAGAGUACAUCAAUUUCUUACUCUCUUUGGAUUAUUGAGUACCUCCUCUCCCGUGAUGCCCU